GGAGGGGGUUUGUCUUUCAGAUCAAACCUUACAAACAGCAAUUUUCUAUUUGUUCAAAACAGAUGUUAGGACCAUUUUCCCUCCCCAGUGCCACUUUAAGGGGCUUUUAGGGAUGACCACUGAGAGUCUGAGAUGUUCUGAGCAACACUGCCUCAUCUUUCAUCCAAAGUUGGCUGGCAAAGGAUCCAUGAGACUAUGCAAAGCACUCACCAGUGUUCCCAUGUUUUGAGAUUUGCACGCCUUUGAUAUUUUGACGGGAAAAGAGCAUCACCACAAAACAAGCCGCUAGAGGAUUAAAGGAGAUUUAUCACCCAGAAGGGUUCUAGGUAUCAUGGUUAACUGAGGUUUACUCACUUCGGAGAGAAUGCCCCAGUGGGAGAAAAUGUAACCUGAUUGGUCUUGAAAGAGAAUGCCAGCCCAAAUAAGAAUAAACAAACAAACAAAUGGACAGAGAAUCUCAGGAGGAGAAUAGAAUUAACUGGAAGGACACCACCAGGGGAAUUUGACAAAGGGCCAACAAUGGAAUUGAUUAGAUUGCUACCUGGAACAGUGGGUAGAGAAUGGAAUCUGGGAUUCUCUAGAACCUUCUACCUGAUGGAGGCCUUUCAGUGUUCUGUUUAGCCACAGAGCUGGUGCCUUUUCUGCUAGACCACCACCUAAUGAUUCCAGAGGACUCACUCCCCUAAACCAGUUACCCUCUCCCACAAGUACCCAGGGCCUUGCUAUCCACUUCUUGGAUGAAAAUAUUUGGAUCAGACUCAGACACCUUGACCCCGGUUCAGUUUUUCCUGGGGAGCGGCUGUGGCCCCCUCUGAUGCCCCCAGCUCAAUGCAUCACAGAAAGAAUUCCAGCCACUCAGCAACCUCUUGUGAUCUUCCAGGUGAGCAGGUUAACAAAUUAAAGAAUCAUUACCAUUACCAUUACCAUGUUUUCCGACUGAGCACUUCACCAUUUGGACGGGCA
rnacentral:lncRNA from 1 species